UAUCGUACAAUAGGAUUCAAAUUGAACGGUGGGCAUGGUUUUUACAAAUGGGAGGAGAAAUGGAGAGGAUUUCUUCCUCCUCUAGGUAAUGUCGGCGAUCGAGAGAAGUUUCUAAUCGUCCAUGGUGAUUCCAGAGUUUGUUGCCGCGGAUCUCUUUCUCACACUUCUUCUUCUACGUCUCUGGAGUCACGGCAAGAGAGGCGAUCGAUCGAGCUUAGGUUAGAAGCGCUAAGAAUGCGAUGGAUGAGAGAGCUUACUCCUCUUCGGCGGCGUCGUCGUCGUCGCAUGGGCGAUGGGGC
rnacentral:lncRNA from 1 species